AGCCAUGAACAGCAACAGGCACAUUCGUCGAUUUGUUAAAGAGGAGAAGAAGAAAUAGUGAUGCAAAGGACUCCUACAUUAAAGCCAUGAGAUCGUUGUUGCUGCCAGAAGGGGGUUUAAAAAACUUGCGGAGGGCUCUCACGGAUGAGUUUGUUGUGGGAUUUAAUGUUAAAGGCCUUUCUGGAAAAAAAGCCGUAAACUCCUUUACACAUUUCUAUGGUGCACUUCACGAUAUUGUUUCAGAAUCUGGUAAUGCAGAAAUAU